AAUUUGUAGCAUUAAAUUGGGAGAAUACUAUCCAUAAAAAGAAAAGUAAUCCAUUGCCUUGGGGGCAAUUGUUAGAAAAUCCUUUUUGGUGUCAUUCUCAAAGUUUUAGUUAUUAGAAAAUCCCUUUUUAGUGUCAUUCUCAACGUAAUUAUUUUGUUGGCAUUAACAAUCAUGGAAAAACUGUUUUAUUUGGAAGUGCGCUCCUUCGCGAUGAGACAAGACGAACAUUUAGAUGGCUGAUGAAGAUUUUUGUAACAAUAAUGACGAAACCACCAAAAAUCAUCAUAACUGAUCAAGAUCCAUGGAUGUCAUAAGCAAUUUCUAUUGAACUUCCAACAACAAAGCAUAGCUAUUGUGUAUGACAUAUCACCGCAAAGUUUAGUAGUUGGUUUACGGCUCUUCUUCGUACCGCAUACCAAAGUUGGUGUAGUGACUUUAUAUGGUUUAUAGGAUGGUCUCUAUUGAAGAGUUUGAGCAUAAUUGGCCCUCUAUAGUUACAAUGCAGAAUAUUUGACUAGAAAUAAAAAUAUUAAAGAUUGA